ensembl:snRNA U6 U6 spliceosomal RNA
GUGCUCACUUUGGCAGUACAUAUACCAAAACUAGAACAAUACAGAGAAGAUUAGCAUGACCCCUAUACAAGGAUGACAUGCAGAUUUGCAAAGCAUUCCAUAUUUUU